GAUGAACGCUGGCGGCGUGCUUAACACAUGCAAGUCGAACGGGAUCCCAGGAGCUUGCUCCUGGGUGAGAGUGGCGAACGGGUGAGUAAUGCGCGACCGACCUGCCCCAUACACCGGAAUAGCUCCUGGAAACGGGUGGUAAUGCCGGAUGCUCCGACAUGACGCAUGUCGUGUCGGGAAAGAUUCAUCGGUAUGGGAUGGGGUCGCGUCCUAUCAGCUUGAUGGCGGGGUAACGGCCCACCAUGGCUUCGACGGGUAGCCGGCCUGAGAGGGCGACCGGCCACAUUGGGACUGAGAUACGGCCCAGACUCCUACGGGAGGCAGCAGUGGGGAAUAUUGCACAAUGGGCGCAAGCCUGAUGCAGCGACGCCGCGUGCGGGAUGACGGCCUUCGGGUUGUAAACCGCUUUUGACUGGGAGCAAGCCCUUCGGGGUGAGUGUAC
rnacentral:rRNA from 1 species